GAUGAAGAACGUAGCGAAAUGCGAUAAGUAAUGUGAAUUGCAGAAUUCAGUGAAUCAUCGAAUCUUUGAACGCACAUUGCGCCCGCCAGUAUUCUGGCGGGCAUGCCUGUUCGAGCGUCAUUACAACCCUCAGGCCCCCGGGCCUGGCGUUGGGGAUCGGCGGAAGCCCCCUGCGGGCACAACGCCGUCCCCCAAAUACAGUGGCGGUCCCGCCGCAGCUUCCAUUGCGUGGUAGCUAACACCUCGCAACUGGAGAGCGGCGCGGCCACGCCGUAAAACACCCAACUUCUGAAUGUUGACCUCGAAUCAGGUAGGAAUACCCGCUGAACUUAAGCAUAUCAAUAAGCGGAGGA
rnacentral:misc_RNA from 1 species